CUAUGAGACACAGAAGCCGACUUGACAGUCACUGUGGUCCAGGAAAUUCCGUCACUUGCUUGAAAAACAAAUCAAGGAUUGUUGACAUUGCCUUCAGCCAGUGGAAGUAAAUGACUUAGUGAAUCUGAGGAAGGCCCACUGAAAGGCCCUGAUCCCUCCAACAUCUCAAAGAC